CGGCAGCUGCUGGGCUGGGUGUCCUAGCGAUAAGGGUGCAGGUCCCAGGGGUGCGGAAGCCGGGGCCGAACAGAGGCACACACCGGUGGGGCGGCUCCUGGGAGCGUUUCUUUCGGGCCUCUGGGCAGCCCCACAGGUGCAGGCCGCUGCUGGCGAGACCGGGAGUGACAAGGGACGCUGCCGGGCUCCUCCACGGAGGGGGACCCGGAACAGAAGCCAUUUAAACACUGCGCGGCGCCAGGAGGCAGCAGGGCUCAAGCCGCCGCAGAGCAGCGGGGGAGACGCCGAACCACACCUAUACGUGUCCGGAAGUCCACCUCCACAGGUACCCCAAGCUGGCCUUGCUGACCUCCACUGGUCUCCCAACAACCACAUCAAAAAAUUCGGACAUCAAAUGUCUAGGUGGUUGUCAAAAUCAUCAAUGAAAGCCUUCUAUCCUAUCUUGAGAUGCAACCAGAUAUCAAUGGAGGUGCUUUGAAAUAUGUCAGAAAUGAGGCCAAGACCAUGUGUUUUAUUAUGCUGGACCGGAUGCUGCCUGGA